rnacentral:rRNA from 1 species
UACGAAGGGAGCUAGCGUUGUUCGGAAUUACUGGGCGUAAAGGGCGCGUAGGCGGCUAUCCAAGUCAGUGGUGAAAGCCCGGAGCUCAACUCCGGAACUGCCAUUGAAACUGUUUAGCUUGAGGAUGAGAGAGGUGAGUGGAAUUCCCAGUGUAGAGGUGAAAUUCGUAGAUAUUGGGAAGAACACCGGUGGCGAAGGCGGCUCACUGGCUCAUUACUGACGCUCAGGCGCGAUAGCGUGGGGAUCAAACAGG